GUGAAUCAUCGAAUUUUUGAACGCAAAUUGCACUCUUCUCGGAGAGUAUGCCUGUUUGAGGGUCAGACUAUAAAAAAUCGACAUCGUUGCUGUUUCGUGGUGGCGUUCGUCGGAAAUUGGGUCAUCUUAAUUCCUUUUGGGUUUUAAGUGACUUAAAAUUUUCUUUACGAUUCUACGAACGUUUCUAAGAUUUAUUUCUUACUCGUUUUAGGUAUCGAUUUUUAUUAGAUGUGUCCGUUGCAUUGGAUCACGUCCCUUAAUAUUUCGUUA
rnacentral:misc_RNA from 1 species